rnacentral:rRNA from 1 species
AAAGAUGCUCGUUACGCGCAGCAGGACGGAAAGACCCCGGGACCUUUACUACAGCUUGGUAUUGGUGUUCGGUACGGCUUGUGUAGGAUAGGUGGGAGACUGUGAAGCGCACGCGCCAGCGUGUGUGGAGUCAUUGUUGAAAUACCACUCUGGUCGUUCUGGGCUCCUAACUUCGGACCAUGAUCUGGUUCAGGGACAGUGCCUGGUGGGUAGUUUAACUGGGGCGGUUGCCUCCCAAAAGGUAACGGAGGCGCCCAAAGGUUCCCUCAGCCUGGUUGGUAAUCAGGUGUCGAGUGUAAGUGCACAAGGGAGCUUGACUGUGAGACAGACAUGUCGAGCAGAGACGAAAGUCGGGACUAGUGACCCGACGGUGGCUUGUGGAAGCGCCGUCGCUCAACGGACAAAAGGUACCCCGGGGAUAACAGGCUGAUCUUGCCCAAGAGCUCAUAUCGACGGCAUGGUUUGGCACCUCGAUGUCGGCUCGUCGCAUCCUGGGGCUGGAGUAGGUCCCAAGGGUUGGGCUGUUCGCCCAUUAAAGCGGUACGCGAGCUGGGUUUAGAACGUCGUGAGACAGUUCGGUCCCUAUCCGCUGCGCGCGUAGGAAACUUGAGAAGACCUGUCCCUAGUACGAGAGGACCGGGAUGGACGAACCACUGGUGUGUCAGUUGUCCUGCCAAGGGCACCGCUGAUUAGCUACGUUCGGAAGUGAUAACCGCUGAAAGCAUCUAAGUGGGAAGCACGCUUCAAGAUGAGGUUUCCAACACACAUUUUGUGUGGGGAGGCUCCCAGCGAGACUACUGGGUCGAUAGGCCGGAUGUGGAAGCACAGUAAUGUGUGGAGCUGACCGGUACUAAUCAGCCGACAACUUAUUCAAACCCCA